rnacentral:rRNA from 1 species
CACGUAGGGCGCGAGCGUUGUCCGGAAUUAUUGGGCGUAAAGAGCUCGUAGGCGGCCUGUUGCGUCCGCUGUGAAAGCCCGGGGCUUAACCCCGGGUCGGCAGUGGAUACGGGCAGGCUAGAGGUAGGUAGGGGAGAAUGGAAUUCCCGGUGUAGCGGUGAAAUGCGCAGAUAUCGGGAGGAACACCGGUGGCGAAGGCGGUUCUCUGGGCCUUACCUGACGCUGAGACGCGAAAGCGUGGGGAGCAAACAGG